rnacentral:rRNA from 1 species
AGCAGCCGCGGUAAUUCCAGCUCCAAUAGCGUAUAUUAAAGUUGUUGCAGUUAAAAAGCUCGUAGUUGAAUUUCGGGGUCAGUGGGUCGGUCGUGCCACUGGUAUGUACUGGCCCUACUGAUUCCUCCUUCUUGAAGAACUGUAAUGCCAUUAAUUUGGUGUUGCAGGGAAACAGGACUGUUACUUUGAAAAAUUAGAGUGUUUAAAGCAGGCAAUCGCUUGAAUACAUUAGCAUGGAAUAACGAAAUAGGACGCUCGAUCCUAUUUUGUUGGUUUCUAGGAUUGACGUAAUGAUUAAUAGGGAUAGUUGGGGGCAUUAGUAUUCAAUUGUCAGAGGUGAAAUUCUUGGAUUUAUUGAAGACUAACUACUGCGAAAGCAUUUGCCAAGGAUGUUUUCAUUAAUCAAGAACGAAAGUUAGGGGAUCGAAGACGAUCAGAUACCGUCGUAGUCUUAACCAUAAACUAUGCCGACUAGGGAUCGGAUGAUGUUAAUUUUUUAAUGACUCAUUCGGCGCCUUAA